AAUCCAUACGCUUGGUGCUUCAAAGAACGCAACUUUGUUGGAAGUGUGCAAAUCCCAAACUAACAGAACAUCAUUCGUUGAUGCAGAUAAUAAGUACUUUCCAUCUGUAGAUAUGUCGAUGUCAGGAAUUUUUCCCAGCUUGUUUUUGAGAACUCGAGUCCCUUGAAUGUUGACGUUUACUCUUGACCCAGAAUCCAUCUUUAGAAAUUGAACCAGUAUUCCGUCUAAUAUUCAUACAACAGUAACGUAACUGUUCCUAUACGAUAUACUCACAAAGAAAGGGGAGGAAAUAAGGAUACUAAAGAUCUUAGGAAGAAAAGCGAAAAGAAUAUAAAUCCACCUGAUAAACUACUCUCACAACAACAAAUUUAGAAUACUCCUACAGGGG